rnacentral:rRNA from 1 species
AACGGAUAUCUCGGCUCUCGCAUCGAUGAAGAACGUAGCGAAAUGCGAUACCUGGUGUGAAUUGCAGAAUCCCGCGAACCAUCGAGUCUUUGAACGCAAGUUGCGCCCGAGGCCUCUUGGCCGAGGGCACGCCUGCCUGGGCGUCACGCCAAACACGCUCCCACCCAACUAACUUGGUGUGGGACGCGGCAUGUGGCUCCUCGUCCCGCAAGGGGCGGUGGGCCAAAGAUCCGGCUGCCGGCCUAUCGUGCCGGACACAGCGCGUGG